UACAGGGGGUGCAAGCGUUGCUCGGAAUUAUUGGGCGUAAAGCGCACGUAGGCGGUCUGUUAUGUCGGAUGUGAAAGCCCUUGGCUCAACUGAGGAAGUGCAUCCGAAACUGGCAGGCUAGAGUACGUAAGAGGGUCGCGGAAUUCCCGGUGUAGAGGUGAAAUUCGUAGAUAUCAGGAGGAACACCGAUGGCGAAGGCAGGUCUCUGGGCCGAUACUGACGCUGAGGAGCGAAAGCGUGGGGAGCGAACAGG
rnacentral:rRNA from 1 species